rnacentral:rRNA from 1 species
GACGAACGCUGGCGGCGUGCUUAACACAUGCAAGUCGAACGGUGACGGGGAGCUUGCUCCCCUGAUCAGUGGCGAACGGGUGAGUAACACGUGGGCAACCUGCCCCAGACUUCGGGAUAACGCUUCGAAAGAGGUGCUAAUACCGGAUACGAGCUCCUCGGGCAUCCUGGGGGCGAGAAAGGUUUUCGGUCUGGGAUGGGCCCGCGGCCUGUCAGCUUGUUGGUGAGGUAACGGCUCACCAAGGCGACGACGGGUAGCCGGCCUGAGAGGGCGACCGGCCACACUGGGACUGAGACACGGCCCAGACUCCUACGGGAGGCAGCAGUGGGGAAUAUUGCGCAAUGGGCGAAAGCCUGACGCAUCAACGCCGCGUGAGGGACGACGGCCUUCGGGUUGUAAACCUCUUUCAGCAGGGAAGAAGCGAAAGUGACGGUACCAGCAGAAGAAGCACCGGCUAACUACGUGCCAGCAGCCGCGGUAAAAC